CCCUAGAAUUAAGGAAUGGAUUAGCAAAACCCUAAUUAGAUAAUUAUGAAUAAUUGAGGAAUUAUAUUAUUAUAUAAUUCAGUAUAUGUGAAUUAAUUUGAUUAAUUAUAUGUUAAGACCCCGUUGGUGAGCCAGGGGCAUUUUAGUAAUUAUGACCCGAGAAGGGUAAAAUGAUGAAAUUAAUUUAAUUACGUGCUUAAUGGAACUAUAUUAUCAUGUAGUAUGACUGUGUUGUCUUUUCAGGGGUGUUCUGACAGGUUGGCGCGGUAUAGUCACAACCGGGUAUUUCGGGCCGAACCGGGUUCGGGCCCGAAAUAUAAAUUGGAUUGAUUUAUUUGGCAUUAUUAUUUAUGGGUGAUAAUCUGAAUUUUUAUUUGAAAAUAAUUGAGUAUGAAUUCACUAUAAUGCCCUUGUAUGUGUGAAUAGGUGAAAAUUGGCCUUAGGGGCAAAAUGGUCUUUUGACCUUAUUUGAUUUACUUUAAUAAAAGCUGAAUUUUGAGGAAAUGAAAUUAGAAAUUCUGGGUCCUCUCUCUCUCCUUAACCCGACCCCCUCUUCAUCUCUCUUUAUCAUCUUCAAUAUUUUACAACUUUGAAAUUAAGGCUUGGAUUGGAGAAAAGUUAAGGAGUUUGGGUGAUUUUGGUGCUUGGAGCUUAGAAAUUAGUGGAUUACCGGCACCUGAUCAGGAGCACCCAGGGGUUUGGAAUCUCUGUUAUUGCGGGACAACAGGAAAGGGUAAGUCAGUGGCUGAUCAACCAUGAGUCUGAGGAGCAAAACGAAGAAUGUACAUGUUCAAGCCAUAUCAGACCAAGCGGGUUAAGGGUCUAUCAGUGUUGAACUUUUGAAUUCUGUUUUGCCGCUUAGGUCGGCUAGAAAGAAAAGACUUGUAAUAAGUUUGUAAUUAUUUUUGGGAUCCCAACUAUUUUGAAAAUUUUAAAUAUAUUACAAGUUUAUUUUCAUUCUGAUUAAUAUAAAAGUUUAAAUUCUGCGCUAUUUUAAUUAGUAAUCCCGAUUAGGGGAUUAGGGUUUCAUAAGCUUUUUGGGUAGCGUGCCUAAUUAUUUAGGGCGUUACAAUAACAGUAGUGAAAACCUGCCUGGGACUCUCCUACUCAGUGCAUCUGCCACAACACUGGCUUUCCCGAGGUGAUACAAAAUCUCACAGCCGUAGGCUUUAACCAAUUCCAGCCACCUUCUAUGUC